UUAAAAUUAGUUAAAACAUAACAUAAGCUUGUCAAGCUUAAAUUAUUACAAAAUAAUAUUUUAAA
rnacentral:tRNA from 1 species